rnacentral:rRNA from 1 species
GACGAACGCUGGCGGCGUGCUUAACACAUGCAAGUCGAACGGAAAGGCCCUGCUUUUGUGGGGUGCUCGAGUGGCGAACGGGUGAGUAACACGUGAGUAACCUGCCCUUGACUUUGGGAUAACUUCAGGAAACUGGGGCUAAUACCGGAUAGGAACUCCUGCUGCAUGGUGGGGGUUGGAAAGUUUCGGCGGUUGGGGAUGGACUCGCGGCUUAUCAGCUUGUUGGUGGGGUAGUGGCUUACCAAGGCUUUGACGGGUAGCCGGCCUGAGAGGGUGACCGGCCACAUUGGGACUGAGAUACGGCCCAGACUCCUACGGGGGGCAGCAGUGGGGAAUAUUGCACAAUGGGCGGAAGCCUGAUGCAGCAACGCCGCGUGCGGGAUGACGGCCUUCGGGUUGUAAACCGCUUUCGCCUGUGACGAAGCGUGAGUGACGGUAAUGGGUAAAGAAGCACCGGCUAACUACGUG